rnacentral:other from 1 species
GAACGGCUGGGUUGUUCGUUUGUAUAUGAAGUUUCAACCUUUAAUGAGUAUAAGGGAAUCCAAUAUAAGAAGCAUAGACAACAAGCCUUCCUUUCGUUAAGGACGUUGAAAAGUGGAUUGCGGAUACCCACCUGGGAGAGCAGGUUAUGAAACUCCAUAAUUUCGGCGGCAACUGCGGCUUAUAA